rnacentral:rRNA from 1 species
UACCUACGGGACGCAGCAGUGGGGGAUAUUGCACAAUGGGGGGAACCCUGAUGCAGCGACGCCGCGUGGGUGAAGAAGCGCCUCGGAGCGUAAAGCCCUUUCAGCAGGGAAGAAAAUGACGGUACCUGACGAAGAAGCCACGGCUAACUACGUGCCAGAAGCAGAGGUAAUACGUAGGGGGCAAGCGUUAUCCGGAUUUACUGGGUGUAAAGGGGACGCAGACGGCGAUGCAA